AUGCUACAAAUGUGGACGUGAGGGACAUCCGUUUUAUAGGUGCCCCGAAAACUCAAAGGCGUGUUAUAAUUGCAAUGAAAUGGGGCACAUUAAAGCGGAAUGUCCGAAACUCCAACAAGGGGCAAAGAGAGAUGGAAAGAAGGAUGAGCCCCCCAAGGCUCGCGGGAGGAUGUUUCAGUUAACCUCGGAUGAAGCCAAAGCUAGCCCGGACGUGGUUUCAGGCACAAAGAAGGAAGAAGGCGCAAGUCACUCAAAGGCACAAUCAUCACAAGAUCGCGGUAAAUCUCAUGCUUGAUCGUGGCGCACUCGGACCGAACACACAAUGUCGACCUUUUGCACGCUUCCGGUUCAAGUUGUUUAUUUUGAAUGGGUCGAAACGUCCAUUUGUGUAGUAAAUGUUAAACUAGUUACUAGGAUGAUGGUAGUAGUUUGAAGUUAAACUUUGUUUUGAAUAAUUUGGUUUUAAUGUUUUGGGUGAAAAGCGUAAAGCUUAAAAUUUAACAUC